UUUAUUGUAAAAGCAAAAUAAUGCAUAAAAUUUAGAAUUUUAAGAUAAAAAUACAA
rnacentral:tRNA from 1 species